rnacentral:rRNA from 1 species
UACGUAGGGGGCAAGCGUUGUCCGGAUUUAUUGGGCGUAAAGAGCGUGUCGGCGGUUUUACAGGUCCGCUGUGAAAACUCGAGGCUCAACCUCGAGCUGUCGGUGGAAACCGUAAGGCUAGAGUCCGGAAGAGGAGAGUGGAAUUCCUGGUGUAGCGGUGAAAUGCGCAGAUAUCAGGAAGAACACCCGUGGCGAAGGCGGCUCUCUGGGACGGUACUGACGCUGAGACGCGAAAGCGUGGGGAGCGAACAGG